rnacentral:rRNA from 1 species
AACGAACGCUGGCGGCAUGCCUAACACAUGCAAGUCGAACGAGACCUUCGGGUCUAGUGGCGCACGGGUGCGUAACGCGUGGGAACCUGCCCUUAGGUUCGGAAUAACUCCCCGAAAGGGGUGCUAAUACCGGAUAAUGUCUUCGGAGCAAAGAUUUAUUGCCUUUGGAUGGGCCCGCGUUGGAUUAGCUAGUUGGGAGGGUAAAAGCGUACCAAGGCGACGAUCCAUAGCUGGUCUGAGAGGAUGAUCAGCCACACUGGGACGGAGACCAGGCCCAGACUCCUGCGGGAGGCGGCAGUGGGGAAUAUUGGACAAGGGGCGAAAGCCUGAACCAGCGAUGCCGCGUGAGUGAUGAAGGGCUUAGGGUGGUAAAGCUCUUUUACCCGAGAUGAUAAUGACAGUACCGGUAGAAUAAGCCCCGGCAACCUCCUU